AUUGAACGCUGGCGGCAGGCCUAACACAUGCAAGUCGAACGGUAACAGGAAGCAGCUUGCUGCUUUGCUGACGAGUGGCGGACGGGUGAGUAAUGUCUGGGAAACUGCCUGAUGGAGGGGGAUAACUACUGGAAACGGUAGCUAAUACCGCAUAACGUCGCAAGACCAAAGAGGGGGACCUUCGGGCCUCUUGCCAUCGGAUGUGCCCAGAUGGGAUUAGCUAGUAGGUGGGGUAACGGCUCACCUAGGCGACGAUCCCUAGCUGGUCUGAGAGGAUGACCAGCCACACUGGAACUGAGACACGGUCCAGACUCCUACGGGAGGCAGCAGUGGGGAAUAUUGCACAAUGGGCGCAAGCCUGAUGCAGCCAUGCCGCGUGUAUGAAGAAGGCCUUCGGGUUGUAAAGUACUUUCAGCGGGGAAGAAGGGAGUAAAGUUAAUACCUUUGCUCAUUGACGUUACCCGCAGAAGAAGCACCGGCUAACUCCGUG
rnacentral:rRNA from 1 species